GGAGUUUGGGCCGUGUCUCAGUCCCAAUGUGGCCGUUCAACCUCUCAGUCCGGCUAUUGAUCGUCGCCUUGGUGGUCCGUUACACCGCCAACUAGCUAAUCAAACGCGGGUCCAUCUCGUAGCGAUGAAUCUUUUCCCCCUGGACCAUGCGGUCCUGUGGGCUUAUGCGGUAUUAGCAAUCGUUUCCAACUGUUAUCCCCCUCUACGAGGCAGGUUACCCACGCGUUACUCACCCGUCCGCCACUAACCUUAAACCCUCUUUGACGAAUCUCCAAGAGUAAAAGGUCCGUUCGACUUGCAUGUGUUAGGCACGCCGCCAGCGUUCAUC
rnacentral:rRNA from 1 species